rnacentral:rRNA from 1 species
CAGUCGCCACGGGAAUACGAAGGGGGCUAGCGUUGCUCGGAAUGACUGGGCGUAAAGGGCGCGUAGGCGGCGGCCAAAGUCAGGCGUGAAAUUCCCGGGCUCAACCUGGGGGCUGCGCUUGAUACUUGGUUGCUUGAGUGGGGAAGAGGGUCGUGGAAUUCCCAGUGUAGAGGUGAAAUUCGUAGAUAUUGGGAAGAACACCGGUGGCGAAGGCGGCGACCUGGUCCUUUACUGACGCUGAGGCGCGAAAGCGUGGGGAGCAAACAGGAUUAGAUACCCCCGUAGUCCCUGUCUCUUAUAC